AAAACGACUCUCGGCAACGGAUAUCUCGGCUCUCGCAUCGAUGAAGAACGUAGCGAAAUGCGAUACUUGGUGUGAAUUGCAGAAUCCCGUGAACCAUCGAGUCUUUGAACGCAAGUUGCGCCCGAAGCCCCCCGGCUGAGGGCACGCCUGCCUGGGCGUCACGC
rnacentral:rRNA from 1 species